ensembl:lncRNA
UUCACAUUUAGAAUUGCUUUUCUAGUUUCCAACAUUGCAGCUAUUCACCUAUUCCUUGAAUGUGAAUUGCAGUCAAACUAUUUCAGCAUUCGAGGCUAGGAAGAGAAGGAGGAAAGGAAAAAGUAAACCCCUUGCCUGGCUGCCCCUCCCCUUAACAAUACUAGCUUUUUCAUAACAGAGACUUGGGCUGCAGCUCAAGCACUGUGAUUAAGAUAAGCCGACCAGAGCUGGACAAUUACCUGACGACUAACCUUUUCUGGAGCCACUUAAGGAUGUAAGAACCCCUGAGAACCAUUGUUUUCCCUGAGUGGAACACGGCACUUGACAGCAGCAGCCUGGUCCCCGAGGGAGCACAUGGGGAGCCCUGGCUAGAGCACUACAAACCCUCUGAACCUCUGCCCAGCUUUCCAUAUCCGUGCUGAAGAACAUGCUGAAAUGAGAGGCAGGGAAAAGAACGUAUGGGUGGACACACAUGCUUUCAUGAACAAAUUCCAUCAUCUGCCUGCCAGAUGCGAAGAAUGACAGAAAGUGUGUCCAAAAGCCCACACUUAGUCAGUCGCUUUGUCAAAAGAUGACAUUUCAGCAUCGCAGUAAUGACGAGGGACGAUUUCACUCAAAUACUGACAAGACGGACAAAGAUGGAAAACUGACAUUCUCAACUGCCCCUCUCAAUCUGUAGACAUUCACUGGGUAAGACCAAUGCAAAAGCAUCAAGACAGUCCUACUUGACAAGACUAGGCAUGGUUGUUUGUUUUUUUUUUUCAUCCCUGCAGUAACAUUAUGGUGUUAUAUAUAAACUCUAAUACAAUUCGAAUAAACAACAUAUACAGACAGAAAUGUUAUACAGCAGACGAUAUUUUUAUGUAAUUCGAUUACGCUCUUCUAUAUAAGUCACCAGGUGAAAAUUAGUGCUCGCAUUGUAGAAAUGGAUGAGAAAUAUGGAUGAGCCGCCCCAGGGGCAAAAAAAAUCUCCUAUACCGCAUAAACAGUGGUAUUAUGUUGCUGAUAUUAUUAUGAUAUUAUUGCGCUGUGUGUGGGCAUGUGUGUAUAGACAUACCUGCAGCUGCUCAAGUUUCACUGUUAGCCAAACCUGUCAGGAAAUCAGAACAACUUAUUAACACGCAUAAAUAGUUAUGUGUGCUAUUCAUCACACAUACACACACAUCGACACACACACACACACGCAAUCACACACAUUAAUUUUGUUUUAAAGCAAUAAUAUUUAAUCAAAUCAAGCAUGUUAUAUAUAUAUAUAUAUAAAUAUAUGGAAUGAAGCAUGCACAUAUUUACAAUACAAAAUUCAUUUAUAACAUGCAUCAUAUGUUAAGUAUUGCUUUUAGAUUUAAAAAUAAAUAAAUAAAGUACAAUUUCCAUAAACCAGCUACUUUAGAUUAUUUUCAUGCUGUUAUUGAUGUCGGGUUAUAAUACAAGCCCUCGUUUUCCAGGUCCUUCACAGGUACGGUAGCCACAUUAUAUAACUGAGGGCACCUGAUUCCACCAUGCAUCAUAUAAGGACACAGCAAAUCAUUUUCCUAGUUCUUCUCUGCUACACCGGGUUUAAGAACAGAGGAACAAAACAUUUUCUACCCUCGUGCAUUUGCCAGCGUCUCAGUGCACUACCACAGACACACAUACAGUGUUAGCCCAAAAUCCCCAACACUGCUCCAUCUCCAG